UACCAUGAGUAAAUGUAUUGCAAAACCAUAAGAGUAACCUACAUGACGAGCAGUAAAGUAGAGUUACACUCUCAACGCCUCUUCUUCUUCUCUUAAAUUUUACUCAGGAGUGAAAAUAAAGCUGCUAUGGAAUUAUAUUUUCUUACAAUUCAGAUUCCUGUGUUGUGUAUCGGUAUUGUGCUGUGGAUAUUAUGUUGCCAUUUUGCAAGGAAACGCAGAGAAGCAGGGGCCUGGCCAACUGAGCGCAGUGAUUCCCCUUCUGUUUACAUCAUCCCUAUAUAUGAUGAGGAGGAGCACGAGGACGAAGAGGACGAAAUGGACAUAAAUGGAGCAUAUUUCCAGCCUUCUUACAGAGAACCUCCCGUGUACUCGAUAAGAAAUGUCAGCCCACCUCCUCCGUAUAUGUUUGAACCACCAUCCUACCCCGACCCACCGCCGUCAUACACAGACCCUCCAGCUUACUCAGAGCAACCUUGAUCCUCUUCAUCAUCCUCUUCCUCCACUUCAAACACUCUCCUGCCUGAAUCCACUGUGCUUUAUAUUAAAGGGCAGAUU